rnacentral:rRNA from 1 species
CAUACGGGCGGCAGCAGUGGGGAAUAUUGGACAAUGGGGGGAACCCUGAUCCAGCCAUGCCGCGUGUGUGAAGAAGGCCCUCGGGUUGUAAAGCACUUUCAGUGAGGAAGAACGCCUGGUGGUUAAUACCCAUCAGGAAAGACAUCACUCACAGAAGAAGCACCGGCUAACUCCGUGCCAGCAGCCGCGGUAAUACGGAGGGUGCGAGCGUUAAUCGGAAUUACUGGGCGUAAAGCGCGCGUAGGUGGCUUGAUAAGCCGGUUGUGAAAGCCCCGGGCUCAACCUGGGAACGGCAUCCGGAACUGUCAAGCUAGAGUGCAGGAGAGGAAGGUAGAAUUCCCGGUGUAGCGGUGAAAUGCGUAGAGAUCGGGAGGAAUACCAGUGGCGAAGGCGGCCUUCUGGACUGACACUGACACUGAGGUGCGAAAGCGUGGGUAGCAAACAGGAUUAGAUACCCUAGUAGUC